CGGUUCCCCUUCGGGGGACAGGGUGACAGGUGGUGCAUGGUUGUCGUCAGCUCGUGUCGUGAGAUGUUGGGUUAAGUCCCGCAACGAGCGCAACCCUCGACCUUAGUUGCCAGCAUUCAGUUGGGCACUCUAAGGUGACUGCCGGCUAAAAGUCGGAGGAAGGUGGGGAUGACGUCAAAUCAUCAUGCCCCUUAUGACCUGGGCUACACACGUGCUACAAUGGGCGGUACAAAGGGUCGCGAACCCGCGAGGGGGAGCCAAUCCCAAAAAGCCGCUCUCAGUUCGGAUUGCAGGCUGCAACUCGCCUGCAUGAAGCCGGAAUCGCUAGUAAUCGCGGAUCAGCAUGCCGCGGUGAAUACGUUCCCGGGCCUU
rnacentral:rRNA from 1 species